AUUGAACGCUGGCGGAAUGCUUUACACAUGCAAGUCGAACGGCAGCACGGACUUCGGUCUGGUGGCGAGUGGCGAACGGGUGAGUAACAUAUCGGAACGUAUCCAAUAAUGGGGGAUAACGAGUCGAAAGAUUCGCUAAUACCGCAUACGCCCUAAGGGGGAAAGCUGGGGACCUUCGGGCCUGGCGUUAAUGGAGCGGACGAUAUCUGAUUAGCUAGUUGGUGAGGUAAAGGCUCACCAAGGCUACGAUCAGUAGCUGGUCUGAGAGGACGACCAGCCACACUGGAACUGAGACACGGUCCAGACUCCUACGGGAGGCAGCAGUGGGGAAUUUUGGACAAUGGGCGCAAGCCUGAUCCAGCCAUUCCGCGUGAGUGAGGAAGGCCUUCGGGUUGUAAAGCUCUUUCGCAAGGGAAGAAAACUUAGCCACUAACAUUGGUUGAGGUUGACGGUACCUUGAUAAGAAGCACCGGCUAACUACGUGCCAGCAGCCGCAGUAA
rnacentral:rRNA from 1 species